AAGUAGCUAUUAUCAAAGAGAAAUUUUGUUUUAUUUUUCUUUCUCAAUGUAGAUUGAGGAAUUGUUUGUUUUAGUUAUCCAUCCUAUAUAGUGCUUUAUAUCUGAAUUUGUGUGAUUGAUUAUUAUAGUUAUUCACUGAAAGAGAACAAGGACAUCCUAACUGGCUGGGAAGAUGUCAUUGCUGGAAUAGCCAAAAGUCUUAUUAAAGAGCAAAGCCCUAAACAAUUAUAUAUCAUCCGUGGGAAGCUCAAGAAUCUUAUUGAGCAUGAUGUUUCACCAGAUUUUAUAUUCAGCACCCUUUUUGAGGAACUGAAGAAACAUUUGGAUGAACAUCUGAAAGCCAAGGCUGAAUUCCUCU